rnacentral:sRNA from 1 species
CUCCAAAGUGGAGCCAAUCCCCUGGAACCAGACUGAAGGGGACCUCACCCCAGACGAGGUGGUGGCCCUAGUGGGCCAGGGCCUGCAGGAGGGGGAGCGAGACUUCGGGGUCAAGGCCCGGUCCAUCCUGUGCUGCAUGCGCCACCAGCCCAACUGGUCCCCCGAGGUGGUGGAGCUGUGUAAGAAGUACCAGCAGCAGACCGUGGUGGCCAUUGACCUGGCUGGAGAUGAGACCAUCCCAGGAAGCAGCCUCUUGCCUGGACAUGUCCAGGCCUACCAGGAGGCUGUGAAGAGCGGCAUUCACCGUACUGUCCACGCCGGGGAGGUGGGCUCGGCCGAAGUAGUAAAAGAGGUGAGGGCCUGGGCUGGCCAUGGGGUCCCUCCUCACUGCCUCCUCCCAUACUUGGCUCUAUUCUGCUUCUCUACAGGCUGUGGACAUACUCAAGACAGAGCGGCUGGGACACGGCUACCACACCCUGGAAGACCAGGCCCUUUAUGACAGAGUGCGGCAGGAAAACAUGCACUUCGAGAUCUGCCCCUGGUCCAGCUACCUCACUGGUGCCUGGAAGCCGGACACGGAGCAUGCAGUUGUUCGGCUCAAAAAUGACCAGGCUAACUACUCGCUCAACACAGAUGACCCGCUCAUCUUCAAAUCCACCCUGGACACUGAUUACCAGAUGACCAAACGGGACAUGGGCUUUACUGAAGAGGAGUUUAAAAGGCUGGUGAGUGGGUGUGAGCCAUACUGGCCUUGACUCGGGUUUGGGAGUAUGGUAUCUACAGGUCCAGUCCGGGGCCUGGAAUCUUUGGAGAGAGGGAGUGAGUCUGCCUCAACAGUCCAAGACAAGCCCAACCUAGACACUUUCCACAGAGAAGACAUCUUUGUGUUGACGUCCUGACCUAGGACCAGGUUUUUGAUCCUUUGCUUGGGUUGAGUGCCUUUAAAGAAUCCAGUGAAAGCUGUCAACCCUCUCCCCAGAAAGGUGUGUGCAGCAGCUAUGAAGUCUUGCACACUCUCUUCAGGUUGUUCUUAAAUCCCAGGCUGAAUAAGUCCAUUCCUGCAGGUGUCUGCAAGGUGUCUCUGGCCCCCUACAUGCCACCCUGUCUCUCAAAGGUUUCUCCAACUUCCUUCUCACAGCCCUUUAUCAUGUAAUGACACAUUAAGAACACGACCUCAUGGUCUCUACUCUGGCACUUGCUGCCGUCUGACAGUGGACAAAUCCUUCCCCCUCUAAGCGUAUCUGCCCAUGUUCAGUGAAGAGGAUGGACUAUCACUACAUUGCUAAGAGCUGCCUUCUUUGUUCUCUGGUUCCAUGUUGUCUGCCAUUCUGGCCUUUCCAGAACAUCAAUGCGGCCAAAUCUAGUUUCCUCCCAGAAGAUGAGAAGAGGGAGCUUCUCGACCUGCUCUAUAAAGCCUAUGGGAUGCCACCUUCAGCCUCUGCAGGGCAGAACCUCUGAAGACGCCACUCCUCCAAGCCUUCGCCCUGUGGAGUCACCCCAACUCUGUGGGGCUGAGCAACAUUUUUACAUUUAUUGCUUCCAAGAAGACCAUGAUCUCAAUAGUCAGUUACUGAUGCUCCUGAACCCUAUGUGUCCAUUUCUGCACACACGUAUACCUCGGCAUGGCCGCGUCACUUCUCUGAUUAUGUGCCCUGGCCAGGGGCCAGCACCCUUGCACAUGGGCAUGGUUGAAUCUGAAACCCUCCUUCUGUGGCAACUUGUACUGAAAAUCUGGUGCUCAAUAAAGAAGCCCAUGGCUGGUGGCAUGCA